UUUAUGGAGAGUUUGAUCCUGGCUCAGGAUGAACGCUGGCGGCGUGCCUAAUACAUGCAAGUCGAGCGAACAGAUAAGGAGCUUGCUCCUUUGACGUUAGCGGCGGACGGGUGAGUAACACGUGGGUAACCUACCUAUAAGACUGGGAUAACUUCGGGAAACCGGAGCUAAUACCGGAUAACAUUUGGAACCGCAUGGUUCUAAAGUGAAAGAUGGUUUUGCUAUCACUUAUAGAUGGACCCGCGCCGUAUUAGCUAGUUGGUAAGGUAACGGCUUACCAAGGCGACGAUACGUAGCCGACCUGAGAGGGUGAUCGGCCACACUGGAACUGAGACACGGUCCAGACUCCUACGGGAGGCAGCAGUAGGGAAUCUUCCGCAAUGGGCGAAAGCCUGACGGAGCAACGCCGCGUGAGUGAUGAAGGGUUUCGGCUCGUAAAACUCUGUUAUUAGGGAAGAACAAAUGUGUAAGUAACUGUGCAC
rnacentral:rRNA from 1 species